rnacentral:rRNA from 1 species
AAAAAAUUAUUGUAUUAUGGAGAUUACUUUAUAGGUGGAUACCCGCGGUAAUUCUAGAGCUAAUACAUGUCACUAAAAAUAUAUUCUUUUUAUAGAGCAUUUAUUUGUCAUCAAACCAAAAUGCUUUUGCAUUGUGGAUGAUUCAUAGUAAUGUUUGGAGAACGCUUUAAAUAGUCGAUAUAUCAUUCAAGUUUCUGACCUAUCAGUUAGUCAGUAGUGAUUGGACUACUGAGGCGUUGACGGGUAACAGAGAAUUAGGGUUCUGUUCCGGAGAGGGAGCCUGAGAAACAGCUACUACAUCUAAGGACGGCAGCAGGCGCGUAAAUUACCCAAUUCUGAUACAGAGAGGUAGUGACAAGAAAUCACAAUAUUUUGCCUUAGGGUUAAGUAAUUGUAUUGAGAACAGCGUAGCCAUCUUAUCGAUAAACUAUU